UCCACCAGGAUUGGCAAGUUUGAGGC
rnacentral:piRNA from 2 species